UCGAGAAUCUUCCGCAAUGGACGAAAGUCUGACGGAGCGACGCCGCGUGCGGGAUGAAGGCCCUCGGGUUGUAAAGCUCUUUUGUCAGGGAAGAAACGGUAGUAGCGAAUAACUAUUACUAAUGACGGUACCUGAAGAAUAAGCACCGGCUAACUACGUGCCAGCAGCCGCGGUAAUACGUAGGGUGCAAGCGUUAAUCGGAAUUACUGGGCGUAAAGCGUGCGCAGGCGGUUAUGCAAGACAGAUGUGAAAUCCCCGGGCUCAACCUGGGAACUGCAUUUGUGACUGUAUAGCUAGAGUACGGUAGAGGGGGAUGGAAUUCCGCGUGUAGCAGUGAAAUGCGUAGAUAUGCGGAGGAACACCGAUGGCGAAGGCAAUCCCCUGGACCUGUACUGACGCUCAUGCACGAAAGCGUGGGGAGCAAACAGGAUUAGAUACCCGUGUAGUCCCUGAGCGGGCUGGCAAGGCGCAU
rnacentral:rRNA from 1 species